GUUGAACUGUGGUUCCCAUACAGGUGAACGGUUACUGGCGUAAGGUGUGCCAGACUCUGAACGGCGACGGAUCGGCACACUCGGCGGGGCCGGCCCGCUUUGCCAGAGUCUUCUUCGGCCGCUGGAGGAUUCCUUCACAGCUCCCACGUCAGCUGAGGGAGUCCGACCCCUCCCAGCUCAUCUUGCUCCAGUGGUGCUGCCUAGCAGGUCUUACGGGACAUCGUCAGGUAUAGGCCAAGGUGGCCGGGGUUUUGAAAGGUACGUUAUUCCAUGUACGGGGCCCGGAACAUAUCUGUUAAUGGAGGUUCUAGGGGACCCGAUAGGGUGGAUAGUGAACGCUUGGGCAUGGCGAUAUCGGCAUUUUUGAGGGGAUAUCUGGUUCCACCAAUAGGGACAUGAGGGCAAUGCUGGUGGAAAGUAAGAUGCUAAGAUAGUAAUAACAUUGUGAUAAAAUCGUUAGGCGAAGCCCGAAGAGAAAAAAUGAAAUCUUGUCAACUCUAACGUUAGACGUGUUUUCAACAUUGGUUUGCUGCUGCUGCUGCUGCUGCUGCUGCUGAGGGUUUUUAAAUCGUCUGUAACUAUCUUCAAAGCGGUCUAUUUCUUAGCAAAUUAUUUCUACUUGUCGCUAUAGAAUAUGAUAUGACCUUUCUCCUGCAAAACAGCGAAUGAACA